CUCUGAUCCUUCUGACACUUCAAAAUGAACUCUGCCUAGGAGAACAUAAAACAACGGUUGUCAGACUGUGCCCUAAGGGAGCACUGCACUCCAGCAAAGGGGCUUGGCCACAGUGAGGCAGAGAGCCAGUCCUGGCACCAAGGACAUUGAAAUCACUGCCAACUGUGCCCCCAGGUGACCUGUCAUGCAGGUUGGAGUCCAGCCUCCCAUCAGUCCCACACAACCUCAGUGUGGGCAGCUAAGGUGAUGGGCAUCACUGAGAGCCAAAUGAAGACUCUUUUGGGCAGCCUUCCUUGUCCUCCCUUCUCUGGACUGUCCUAUACGUGCCACACAGCUGCCACUGAGAACCCACUGUCAUUCCGACU